rnacentral:pre_miRNA from 1 species
AGCAAAGAGGUGUGUUGCCCUCUAGGAAAUGCAUACCACUGUGGAGUAAUUGGGCUGGCGUGCAUUUCCCUGGUGGCAA